AAAGAGAAGCGAAGCGGUGACGUGGAGCAAACCUCAGAAAGCCAAUCUCAGUUCGGAUUGUAGGCUGCAACUCGCCUACAUGAAGUUGGAAUCGCUAGUAAUCGCGAAUCAGAAUGUCGCGGUGAAUACGUUCCCGGGUCUUGUACACACCGCCCGUCACACCACGAGAGUUUACAACACCCGAAGUCAGUGGCCUAACCGCAAGGAGGGAGCUGCCUAAGGUGGGGUAGAUGAUUGGGGUGAAGUCGUAACAAGGUACC
rnacentral:rRNA from 1 species